CCAAACAUAUUCUCCUUUUCAACCCUCUGUUAUCUGUUCCUUGGUUUGAGUACAACUAACCGGUAUUAUCCAAAAUAGUAAACUUUUGAACUCAAAACCACCUCAGGUUUCGUGAAACUGUGGUUCCGCCCUUCGACUCCUUGUCGGAGGGCCCGUUUUUCCCCCGCCGGUAAGCUCCUCUGCUCCCUCUUGGCUGUGUGCCUCCUCUGUUUCCCUGUUCCAAUGGAUCCCCUGCUGCUCAUCUGAACCUCGUUACAAUAGGAAGCUGCUUCUCAUCCUGCAUUCAGAGUCCUCAUUUUUCAUCUUCGGUUUCAUCCACGGACUUCAAAUCUCUCAUGUUUGUCUCGACUACUACGACCACCAUGAACCGACGUCUCACAAAAGCUGAAAAAGGGAAGGAAAUCAAUCGGUCCCCAUCUCCCCCACCACGAAAAUGUAUCCGAGCACCUGAUGUGGACACCACCGACUUUAUUGAAGAAAAUGCCUUGACACUUAUUGUCCGCUUGACAAACCCUUAUGUGCAACGAGUAAGGGCUAUAUCCCCUAUAUCUCGAAUGGUGGGAUCUCCGUGGUAAAGCCAUCAGAUCUGACCUCAUAAAUAAUUGUUUCCAGUUUCGGUUUGACCAUGAAGAUGACCUCCAAAAAGUUCUCGCAAACCGUCUGUCCCACUUCGCAAACUGGAUGCUUAUCCUCCAGAAAUGGGAACCGAUAAUAUCUUCAAUCUUCCCAUCCCAGAUCCUGUUCUGGAUCAGACUCAAAGAAAUCCCACUCCAUUACAGAAAAAAGAGCUCAUCAGCAAAAUAGGGAAAGAAAUUGGUACCUUGUUAGAGUACAAAGUUACCAGAACCUGAGCGCAUAUGAAAGUUAAGAUUAACAGGCUGAAGGCUCUUACUAAGGAAACAAUAGAGAAAUUUGGUGAUGGAAGAGAAGCCUUGGUAACCUUGGAGUAUGAAAGACUCUAGAACCACUGCUCCUACUGCUACAAACUCACGCACAUGAAAGAAGUCUGCCCACAAAAGUUCAGUCAGAGUGAACAACGCCCUAGAACAGAUGAAAAAACUCAAGGUACAGCCUUGCCUGAGCCCUUACGGAAGCAGCAAGAGGAAAGACCGAUACGGUAGAUACUUUGGCGAACGCCCAUCCCAGGGACAAAAUGGUGGUGCUAAAGUUUCUUCUCAUCACUCAAGAGAGCACUACAUGGAGGAUCCUCUCCACAAUAAGAUCCCAUGCAGAACCCAAGCAGACUCUCACUCUUACCAGAGGAACAGAUCUCCCCAACUCCGUCUCUCCCCGCAGCAAGGAGAGAGCCACCAUGAACCUCGAUAGAACCUCCCCAAAAAGGCUUGAUCUCAAGGCCCUACUAUCUCACCAAUUCACCAACUGUGGAGGGAAAAACCGACUUAGAACAUCCUCAGCAACCUCCAGACCUACUCCUCCCCAAGUGGUCCGACCUACUCUUGAGAGAAACCUGGACAAGGAAGACUUUACAUUGCCUCAACCUAAAAAAUCAAGAGAGGAAGUAAUGAAUACGUGCAGGAAGUCACCAUACAGUACAUAAACUGCAGAGAUCCCAUUGAAAGUGCAGCUCGCUGUCAAUGUGUAAUCGAGGGAUAAGCCAGAGGUUUAAUGGCUGAAACUGUAGAUUUCAUCCUUGCUUACCCUACAGAACAGCCACGUUCUACAAAUCCUAAUGGCUUUUAUAACACUGUAUUUGUAUCCAUUUUCACUAUUGAUUUCAAAUGCUUUUUCAAAUGUUUUAACUAGUUUUAGUAGUUUUUAUUAUAGUUUUUCUAUAUUUGUAGUUUCAUGACUCUUUUCAAAAAACUUAGGGAAAAACAUG
rnacentral:lncRNA from 1 species